GAUGAACGCUAGCGACAGGCCUAACACAUGCAAGUCGAGGGGCAGCACGGUGUAGCAAUACACGGGUGGCGACCGGCGCACGGGUGAGUAACGCGUAUGCAACCUGCCUACUACAAGGGGAUAACCCGUUGAAAGACGGACUAAUACCCUAUAACACAGGGAAUCCGCAUGGAUAUAUUUGUUAAAGAUUUAUCGGUAGUAGAUGGGCAUGCGUUCCAUUAGCUUGUUGGUGAGGUAACGGCUCACCAAGGCAACGAUGGAUAGGGGAACUGAGAGGUUGAUCCCCCACACUGGAACUGAGACACGGUCCAGACUCCUACGGGAGGCAGCAGUGAGGAAUAUUGGUCAAUGGACGAGAGUCUGAACCAGCCAAGUCGCGUGAAGGAAGACGGCCCUACGGGUUGUAAACUUCUUUUGUAAGGGAAUAAAUAGUCUUACGCGCUAAGACGUUGCAGGUACCUUACGAAUAAGGAUCGGCUAACUCCGUGCCAGCCGCCGCCGUAACAC
rnacentral:rRNA from 1 species